rnacentral:rRNA from 1 species
UACGAAGGGUGCAAGCGUUACUCGGAAUUACUGGGCGUAAAGCGUGCGUAGGCGGUUUGUUAAGUCCGUUGUGAAAUCCCCGGGCUCAACCUGGGAACUGCAUCUGUGACUGUAUAGCUAGAGUACGGUAGAGGGGGAUGGAAUUCCGCGUGUAGCAGUGAAAUGCGUAGAUAUGCGGAGGAACACCGAUGGCGAAGGCAAUCCCCUGGACCUGUACUGACGCUCAUGCACGAAAGCGUGGGGAGCAAACAGG